rnacentral:rRNA from 1 species
CGGGACACGUGGUAUCCUGUCUGAAUAUGGGGGGACCAUCCUCCAAGGCUAAAUACUCCUGACUGACCGAUAGUGAACCAGUACCGUGAGGGAAAGGCGAAAAGAACCCCGGCGAGGGGAGUGAAAAAGAACCUGAAACCGUGUACGUACAAGCAGUGGGAGCCUCUUUUAUGGGGUGACUGCGUACCUUUUGUAUAAUGGGUCAGCGACUUAUAUUCUGUAGCAAGGUUAACCGAAUAGGGGAGCCGAAGGGAAACCGAGUCUUAACUGGGCGUUAAGUUGCAGGGUAUAGACCCGAAACCCGGUGAUCUAGCCAUGGGCAGGUUGAAGGUUGGGUAACACUAACUGGAGGACCGAACCGACUAAUGUUGAAAAAUUAGCGGAUGACUUGUGGCUGGGGGUGAAAGGCCAAUCAAACCGGGAGAUAGCUGGUUCUCCCCGAAAGCUAUUUAGGUAGCGCCUCGUGAAUUCAUCUCCGGGGGUAGAGCACUGUUUCGGCAAGGGGGUCAUCCCGACUUACCAACCCGAUGCAAACUGCGAAUACCGGAGAAUGUUAUCACGGGAGACACACGGCGGGUGCUAACGUCCGUCGUGAAGAGGGAAACAACCCAGACCGCCAGCUAAGGUCCCAAAGUCAUGGUUAAGUGGGAAACGAUGUGGGAAGGCCCAGACAGCCAGGAUGUUGGCUUAGAAGCAGCCAUCAUUUAAAGAAAGCGUAAUAGCUCACUGGUCGAGUCGGCCUGCGCGGAAGAUGUAACGGGGCUAAACCAUGCACCGAAGCUGCGGCAGCGACGCUUAUGCGUUGUUGGGUAGGGGAGCGUUCUGUAAGCCUGUGAAGGUGUGCUGUGAGGCAUGCUGGAGGUAUCAGAAGUGCGAAUGCUGACAUAAGUAACGAUAAAGCGGGUGAAAAGCCCGCUCGCCGGAAGACCAAGGGUUCCUGUCCAACGUUAAUCGGGGCAGGGUGAGUCGACCCCUAAGGCGAGGCCGAAAGGCGUAGUCGAUGGGAAACAGGUUAAUAUUCCUGUACUUGGUGUUACUGCGAAGGGGGGACGGAGAAGGCUAUGUUGGCCGGGCGACGGUUGUCCCGGUUUAAGCGUGUAGGCUGGU